rnacentral:rRNA from 1 species
CAUGCAAGUCGAACGAUGAUUAUCUAGCUUGCUAGAUAUGAUUAGUGGCGAACGGGUGAGUAAUGCUUAGGAAUCUGCCUAUUAGUGGGGGAUAACGUAGGGAAACUUACGCUAAUACCGCAUACGUCUUACGAGAGAAAGGGGGCUUUUAGCUCUCGCUAAUAGAUGAGCCUAAGUCGGAUUAGCUAGUUGGUGGGGUAAAGGCCUACCAAGGCGACGAUCUGUAGCUGGUCUGAGAGGAUGAUCAGCCACACUGGGACUGAGACACGGCCCAGACUCCUACGGGAGGCAGCAGUGGGGAAUAUUGGACAAUGGGCGAAAGCCUGAUCCAGCCAUGCCGCGUGUGUGAAGAAGGCCUUUUGGUUGUAAAGCACUUUAAGUAGGGAGGAAAAGUUAAUGGUUAAUACCCAUUAGCCCUGACGUUACCUACAGAAUAAGCACCGGCUAA